GCCUGGCUGGCUCAGUUGGUGGAGCAUCCGACUCUCGAUCUGGUGGGUGUGGGUUCGAGCCCCUCGUUGGGUG
rnacentral:tRNA from 1 species